GACGAACGCUGGCGGCGUGCUUAACACAUGCAAGUCGAGCGGUAAGGCCCUUUCGGGGUACGACGAGCGGCGAACGGGUGAGUAACACGUGGGUGACCUGCCCUCAGCUCUGGGAUAAGCCCGGGAAACUGGGUCUAAUACCGGAUAUGACUUCAUGACGCAUGUUGUGGAGUGGAAAGCCUUGUGCGGCUGAGGAUGGGCCCGCGGCCUAUCAGCUUGUUGGUGGGGUGAACGGCCUACCAAGGCGACGACGGGUAGCCGGCCUGAGAGGGCGACCGGCCACACUGGGACUGAGACACGGCCCAGACUCCUACGGGAGGCAGCAGGUGGGGAAUCUUGCGCAAUGGGCGAAAGCCUGACGCAGCGACGCCGCGUGAGGGAUGACGG
rnacentral:rRNA from 1 species